rnacentral:rRNA from 1 species
GACGAACGCUGGCGGCGUGCCUAAUACAUGCAAGUCGAGCGAAUCUUUUGGGAGCUUGCUCCCUUAAGAUUAGCGGCGGACGGGUGAGUAACACGUGGGUAACCUGCCUGUAAGACUGGGAUAACUUCGGGAAACCGGAGCUAAUACCGGAUACUUUCUUUUCUCGCAUGAGGGAAGAUGGAAAGAUGGUUCUGCUAUCACUUACAGAUGGACCCGCGGCGCAUUAGCUAGUUGGUGAGGUAACGGCUCACCAAGGCGACGAUGCGUAGCCGACCUGAGAGGGUGAUCGGCCACACUGGGACUGAGACACGGCCCAGACUCCUACGGGAGGCAGCAGUAGGGAAUCUUCCGCAAUGGACGAAAGUCUGACGGAGCAACGCCGCGUGAGCGAAGAAGGCCUUCGGGUCGUAAAGCUCUGUUGUUAGGGAAGAACAAGUACGAGAGUAACUGCUCGUACCUUGACGGUACCUAACCAGAAAGCCACGGCUAACUCCGUGCCAGCAGCCGCGGUAACAC